rnacentral:rRNA from 1 species
UACAGAGGUCCCAAGCGUUGUUCGGAUUCACUGGGCGUAAAGGGUGCGUAGGUGGUGGGGUAAGUCGGAUGUGAAAGCUCGGAGCUCAACUCCGAAAUGGCAUUGGAAACUACCCUGCUAGAGGAUUGGAGGGGGGACUGGAAUACUUGGUGUAGCAGUGAAAUGCGUAGAUAUCAGGAGGAACACCAAUUGCGAAGGCAGCUCGCUGGGACGUUACUGACGCUGAGACGCGAAAGCGUGGGGAGCAAACAGG